GACGAACCGUGCGAACGUUAUUCGGAAUCACUGGGCUUAAAGGGUGCGUAGGCGGGUCUUUAAGUCAGGGGUGAAAUCCUGGAGCUCAACUCCAGAACUGCCUUUGAUACUGAAGAUCUUGAGUUCGGGAGAGGUGAGUGGAACUGCGAGUGUAGAGGUGAAAUUCGUAGAUAUCGGGAGGAACACCGGUGGCGAAGGCGGCGACCUGGGUAGAUACUGACGCUGAGGUGCGAAAGCGUGGGGAGCAAACAGG
rnacentral:rRNA from 1 species